rnacentral:sRNA from 1 species
AUUCUACCCAUGUGGGGAAGGAUGAGAAGCUUCGACUAAGGUUCGAUUCGAGCGCAGCGAGAAAGCGUUGCCGCAGGCAACGACCCGAAGGGCGAAGCGCGCAGCGCUGAGUAAUCCUUCCCCCACCACCG